GACGAACGCUGGCGGCGUGCUUAACACAUGCAAGUCGAACGGGAUUUAGUAGACAGAAGCCUCGGCUAAAGAUUACUAAUGAGAGUGGCGAACGGGUGAGUAACGCGUGAGCAACCUGCCUAUGACAGUGGGAUAGCCUCGGGAUACCGGGAUUAAUACCGCAUAAAAUCGUAGAAACGCAUGUUUUAACGGUCGAGGAUUUAUCGGUCAUAGAUGGGCUCGCAUCUGAUUAGCUGGUUGGUGAGAGAACAGCCCACCAAGGCGACGAUCAGUAGCCGGUCUGAGAGGAUGAACGGCCACAUUGAAGCUGAGACACAGUCCAAAAUCCUACGGGAGGCAGCAGUGGGGAAUAUUGCACAAUGGGGGAAACCCUGAUGCAGCGACGCCGCGUAAACCAAGAAGGUAGUCGUAACGUAAAGUUCUGUCCUAUGGGAAGAUAAUGACAGUACCAUAGAAGAAAGCUCCGGCUAACUACGUG
rnacentral:rRNA from 1 species